rnacentral:rRNA from 1 species
GUGCCAGCAGCCGCGGUAAUACGUAGGGCGCAAGCGUUGUCCGGAAUCACUGGGUGUAAAGGGUGCGUAGGCGGAUGGGUAAGUCAGCGGUGAAAUCUCACGGCUCAACCGUGAAACUGCCGAUGAUACUGUCCAUCUUGAGUUUGGGAGAGGUCGAUGGAAUUCCAGGUGUAGCGGUGAAAUGCGUAGAUAUCUGGAAGAACACCAGUGGCGAAGGCGGUCGACUGGCCCACAACUGACGCUGAGGCACGAAAGCGUGGGGAUCAAACAGGAUUAGAUACCCCAGUAGUCC